rnacentral:rRNA from 1 species
AACGAACGCUGGCGGCAUGCCUAACACAUGCAAGUCGAACGAGACCUUCGGGUCUAGUGGCGCACGGGUGCGUAACGCGUGGGAACCUGCCCUUAGGUUCGGAAUAACUCCCCGAAAGGGGUGCUAAUACCGGAUAAUGUCUUCGGACCAAAGAUUUAUCGCCUUUGGAUGGGCCCGCGUUGGAUUAGCUAGUUGGCAGGGUAAAAGCCUACCAAGGCGACGAUCCAUAGCUGGUCUGAGAGGAUGAUCAGCCACACUGGGACUGAGACACGGCCCAGACUCCUACGGGAGGCAGCAGUGGGGAAUAUUGGACAAUGGGCGAAAGCCUGAUCCAGCAAUGCCGCGUGAGUGAUGAAGGCCUUAGGGUUGUAAAGCUCUUUUACCCGGGAUGAUAAUGACAGUACCGGGAGAAUAAGCUCCGGCUAACUCCGUA